AACUGUCCAGAGGAUAUAAAUUUUUCCUACACUUAGAGAUACGGGAGAUCGGACGUUGUGCUUUGGUGUGAAAACUUGCUACGCGCAGGGAUCCUAAAAAUGCACACAGAUCACCCACCUGUUCAUACAGGGAAAGAUCUCUUCCUCUGGAUUUUUU
rnacentral:other from 2 species